AUUGAACGCUGGCGGCAUGCCUUACACAUGCAAGUCGAACGGUAACAGGUCUUCGGAUGCUGACGAGUGGCGAACGGGUGAGUUAUACAUCGGAACGUGCCCGAGAGUGGGGGAUAACGAGGCGAAAGCUUUGCUAAUACCGCAUACGAUCUCAGGAUGAAAGCAGGGGACCGCAAGGCCUUGCGCUCACGGAGCGGCCGGUGGCAGACUAGGUAGGUGGUGGGAUAAAAGCUUACCAAGCCGACGAUCUGGAGCUGGUCUGAGAGGAAGACCAGCCACACGGGGACUGGGACACGGCCCAGACUCCUACGGGAGGCAGCAGUGGGGAAUUUUGGACAAUGGGAGCUAGCCUGAUCCAGCCAUGCCGCGUGCAGGAUGAAGGCCUUCGGGUUGUAAACUGCUUUUGUACGGAACGAAAAGACUCUGGUUAAUACCUGGGGGCCAUGACGGUACCGUAAGAAUAAGCACCGGCUAACUACGUGCCAGCCGCCGCAGUAAGAC
rnacentral:rRNA from 1 species